GUCCAAGUGCACUCUCCAUCCCAAAUGUACUUUUUUAUUUAAAAAACCUCUCAAAACGUGAAAGUUGGCUGAGAUAUUUUCUUCUCUCUCCCUUCCACGUACACAAACUGUAGCUUUUUAUAUCCAUCUCCGACAACAUAAACAUAAACAGACGCCAUUCUUCCAUUUUCCUUCCAGGGAAUAAUAAUCAGAUUCCUCUCUCUUCUAUGUUACUCUCCAUCUUCUUUGUUUUCUCUCCCCUACUGAUUAAUUGUAGGUAUGGAUGAUUCUGGGUGCUGCCAUGUCCAAGCUCAUGUUACUUUCUCUACCCUUUUAAUGGUUCUUUUAGUAUCCAGAAAGUACAGAAAGGAGAUUUCAGGAUUCAUUUUAAUAGGUGAUUUCUCAAUUGAAAGAUAAAUAUUUAUUGGUACAAUUCAUUUGUAUCACCACUUGCUCCAUUCCAACACAAUGGAAUUUGAUUUCUUGCUUCUGAUUAUGUAUCUAAAACUCAAUUUGCAGUAGGCUUACUGUGUCAUUUCCUCCUUCAUAUUGUAGUAAAGGUAGAGCUUUCUUUCUUUUCUUUAAUUUUUCUACUCAACCUAACAAUUGCUUUUUCUUUCAAUGCUCAAGGACAAAUUUGUUCCUGAGUUUAUCAAACCACCCAUUUAGUAGAUGUUUUAUACCUUAUGUAGAGGUCAGUAUCACUUCAAAGUUAGAAUUUGGUACCUCUAUUUCAUGAUUUCUAUUUUUGCUGGUCUCAGUUUUAUUUUCUUGCUAUGAUCAUGUUCAUUUAUGUUUCUAGAAACUAGUUCAGGGCAUGCUACUUGCUUACCAUUAUUGGCUAACAAGAUGUAAUUUUAUUCAGGAGACGGGGUGAUUGAUUUUGCUAUGUGCAACUACUUUCUGGCAAAACCUCUACAUAAUCUUCAGAAAAGUAUAGUAAAUAUUAGAUUUCCAACUCAUGUGUCUCUAAAUUAAAUAUCAAACUCGUGAGUCUAAAACAAUGUACUUCUUUAUAAGUUAAUGUAAGAAUACAUGGUUUGAUGAGCUCAUCCAUUUACUCAGUUUAACAGAUGGAGGUAAGAACCUUUCUGCCACUGGCUUUAUGACACAUUACUUCCUAAUCAGUCAUAGUCUUUUAAGUUUUUCAUGAAUUAGUUGUCUGGUAGUAGGCACAUGCACUGUUAACAUUUGCUUUUGUUAGUUUAGUGGUCCUAACUGCAGAGAGCCAUCUUACUCAAGGGAAAUUGCAACAAAUGGGCUUGGGUUGCAGAGGUGCUGAUUCAGAUAUUGGAUAAAAUAACUUUAUGGAAUAUGUGAACGGGUAAUAUCUCUAGAUUAAAACCACUUUAGUCCAUAAAAGGUUUAGAUUUUUCUGAUGCUUGUUGAAAUACCCAAACUUAUGACAUGAUUACCUAAAUAGAAGUUAAUUUAGGCCCAAAAUCACUUUUGACCCAACUUAACAGGCUAAAAGAAAUUCCUCUCCAUCAUGUGUUGCCGGGGCCUCACUUUGGAAUCUUUAAGUUGCAGAAAUUAAAAAAUUCCGUGGAAGUAAAUCCUUCCUUUUUUUCAUAGUUGCAUCAUUAUAUGUGGUAGUGGGUUUAUAUAGUCACCAGUGAAGACCAAGUUAAAAUCAUAAAACCUUUAACAGAACAGAGGCUCAAAGAGAGACUGUGGUCACACAUACAUGUACUUUAAAAGAAUAAUGAUUUUAAUCUUUUCAGUUCAUCUUUUUAUUAUGAAUGGAAGUACAAAUAUAUUGGUUAUUGAAAAGGUAGCUCGGUUGAUGUUGGAAACACAGAUAAGUGUAAGUUUUACUUUUUAUCAGUGUUUUUAGUUUUAAUCUGAAAAUCGAUAUCAAAACAAUACCAGUUCCAUGAAAAUUCUCCCUCACUAUCCCUUCUCAUCUCCUUUGUUUAAUGCGUGUAGACAAAUGUGAGUAAAGCAUAGGUUUUUUGAAGCAUGGAUAUUGACAGAUGCAUCAGCAUGUGUAUGUGAUGCUUUGCAAGCAUGCCAACAGUGGUUGUACUUGCUAGUGCUCUAAUUUUUCUACUAAUGUACAUCUGAAUGCCCUUUACAGUUGUGUUGCUAUGGUUUUCAUUACUUGCUUCUGUCACUAUUCAUUCUCGCCGCUUGUUUUCUCAUGUUUUGAAGUUUGAUGGAACAUGCUUAAUAAUUUGGAAUGUCACUUCUGAAGUGGAGAAUCUAUUGUUGGCUUCCCAUAAUAUAUUAAUGGACCAUUUCUGAGAGGUAAUUUUUAAUGUGUGUUGAGAAUUACCUGAGACUUAGAAAGGUCUGCCUACAAAUGGCAAAUUACACUCUUAGAAGCUGCUGUAGAUGAGGAUUAUCUUUUUGUUAUUGUAGGCAACCCAAGUUUAACUAAAAAGGAAAAGACUUUUAUUGCUUUGUAUGGUAGCAGCUCAACGACAGGCUGAAAAAUCUUUGAACGACAUGGUAGAUGCUCUGCCCUUUAUUUACUGAAUUCCUUUGCACGCGCACAGGCAAAAUGCUUUUUGUAUUCUCUUCCUUGUACUUUAAAGGAUCCUGACUGGUGUUGUACUUCAGAUAUUGGAUUUUGUCCACUGCAUUUACCGAGGAGUCCUGUCUGCUUAGAGCUUGUCUGCGGAGUUCUAUGCUAGACAUGGAAAAGGGAAAUGAGCUGGUUUUCUAGAUUUUCUAGAUCUUUGAUGCUCAAACCAGACAGUUCUUCUCCCAUCAAUUGCCUGCAACAUCUCAAGGCAAAUGUUAGGUAUGGUGCCAGAGUUUUAUACUUGUCCAUGAAUAUAGUUAGAAAGAAAACUUGUCCAUGGAUGCAUAAAUCUAUUAGUUUUUCUUGUGGCAGAUGUGGCUACAACUGCGAUCCAUCCAUGAUGUGAAACAUAACAUGGCCGUAAAUUUUUUUAACCACAUAGCCUACACCAUUAUUUUAAGGCCAACGGUGACUUCUUGUUGAGAUCCUCUAUUGAGAAUAUUCAGUGAUAAUUAACUUUACCGACGAUAUUCUUGCAAGCACUGCAGUUCCUUCCUCAAGCUUGCUGCCUCCUUUUUCCAAAACUAGUGAGCAGAAAAUGAAGCACAUCAUAUAACAAGCAAUAAUUUGGAGUAGAAUAGAAUUGAUGAGAGCUGCUUGAAGAAGUGAUUGCCUCAGAAAUCUGCAUGUUCAUGCUACAAUCUACAGAGAACACUUAAUGAGAUGGUCAUGUAUUCAGUUUUGCACAGAGUAAUUUUAUUUUUGAAUAUUGUAAAUGUUCCUGUAUGGUGGCGUUACUAUUGUGUUUGGUUGCAGAUAAAAUUAAAUUGAACAUGGCUUGGCACAAUAGAAAAUCAUUGUGCAUAGCGCAUGACUUUUGAAUACCCUUUUGAGUUAAUGAAAUGUUGAGAUUGGUUCU